rnacentral:lncRNA from 1 species
AAUGAGAAAAGCAUUGACAAAAUGAUCUGAUUUUUUAAUUGACAUGAAAUGUACAUUGAUAUACACUGUAUUAUACUCUCUCAUACAUUCCUCAAGUUUAAAGCACAAGUUUCAGUUUAAAUAUACAUUAUUUAUAAAACAUUCUGACAUUAAAGCAAAGCAUAUUUAUUUUGUUAAAAUUGUUUUAAUUGUAUAAAACUUUUUCAUAAAGAGCACUUAGAAAUACACUUUGUAUACAAGUAUCACAUGAUUAUUUAAAAAUUUGGUCACAUGACCACCACAUGAUCUUUAAAAAAAUUAUACCAAGACCACAUGAUUAACUUGGAUCUUCCUCACAUAAUUGACUCACUUACUCAAAAGCAUAUGUACAUGCACAUGAAUGACAGUUAAAGACUUAUCCAAAGUAAAAUGCUAUCUGGAUAACUUUAUAUUACUGUGGAUUUAUUAUUAUUCAUGGAGUACAAAUUUUUGUGGAUUUUAUGGGUAUUGAUUUACCACAAAUUUUUAAUGUACAAAAGAGUAUAAAUUUACUAUAGGCUUGAAAGCAGACUAUAGCCAAAACAAGAGAAUAAAAUAUCCAUUGUUUUUUCCUAAAUUCAUGAUCGAAUCCAACAAAAUGUAUGAAUCCUCAGAACUCAGUUUCUAUAGUCUUAUAAUCAACGAUGAUCACUUCUUCAGAUGUCUAAUUUAAAACUAUUUUUGAAGAUGCACCUCGAUCUUAUAAAGCAUUAUGUGACAAAUGAACCAUUUUCAUGUGUGGAUGAAACACAAGCUUCAAAGGAUAAAUAUUGACCAAUCACAACUGCUACAUCAUAAUCAAAGUAUAUUUCAACAGCAAUUUUUUUCUUCUUGAAACUGUUGAUAAUUACCAAAAUCUGUAAAACAUAACAGCAUGAGAAAAAGCUCAUAAAAAGAAUUCUAUUUCUAUUUCUAUGUACUUAUGAAGAUAGUCUUUCGUAUUCUUAAUGGUUUUCUUCUAUAAACUGCUAAGAAGAACAAAUCAGUUUAUCAAAUGAAAAGCAGUGGGUGACUUGUAUAAAUAGCCAUUAUCUAGCAACAAAGACCUUAUGGUAUUCCAAAAGGGACUUUAAAACGGUUAUAAAAAUAAUACAUAUUACCGGUACUCGAUUUAUGUGAUAUGAUUCAAGGCUCAAUUUUAUCAAUAUUUUAUCCCAUGCAGCUUGUAUUUUCUUGCAUGUGAACUGCUUUCUUUUUAAGCAGAAAGUAUACAGACAUUUAACUAACGAAACACAAACAGUUGAUUGCUAUAAUGUUGCAGCAUUCUAUCAAACAGAUUAUGUCCAUGUUCAGGUAUAAGCAACUUCAAUUACAAUUGUUAAACAAUUUCAGUAGAAAAUGUCUGUGACUUUUUUCAUAUUUAUAGAUUAAUUUUUUCUUGGUGUCUAGAAGAAAAUAUUUCAUGCAUAUUCAGUUUCAAAUUUUAAUAAAAGUAUUUUCAAAAUCAUAUCAAAACAUUUUAUUCUUAGUUUCAAAUUUUCAAUAAAAAUUCCAGUCCUCAAAUUGAAAAGGUUUUCGAAUUUUACCAGAUAAAUUAAAUUUGAAUUUCUGAAAAAGAAUAUCUACAAAUUAAUUCAAAAUUAAAUAUCUUAAUGAAAUUUCACAAUCAGUACUAGUCUAGUGAUCUCCUAUUAUCAGAAACCAAUUCAUAUUUUUAAUUUAGACCAUUUAGAUAAUAUGAUUGUCAAUUUUGUUGAAAAAUUUCUUUAAUAUAUUACUUCUGAACAUUUGCCAAAGUACUUAAGUAAGUAACCUAAACAUGGACACAAAUCAUCAGACACUACAUGAACAUGUUCGGACAUUCUAGUUAUAUAUAUUCAAUUCUCUUACAAGUCUCUCAAAAUUAUGCAAAUGCCUUAGUUUUCACUAAAACAACUCAAUAAAUUACAAAAAAUGCUGAUAUUUGUUUAUUACAUUUAGUUAUUAAAUAUGUGCUAUUUACAUGGAGUAUUAUAGAGAACGACAGAAGAAAGAAAAAGGAAAGUUUUCACUCAUUUUCAAUAAAAUAUAAUCUUUUCCAAGUACACUUUUAAUCUAUUAUUACAUAUCAUAUCAGACAAGGUAAUAUUAUCUAUAUGUUAUCAUGAUUACAUAAACACUUCUAUUAAAUAUUAGCUCAAUUUUAUUUCUAAAACCAUGGUGGCCUCAUUUUACAGAAAUGUUAGAUUGAAUGAAAAAAUCUCAAGCAUAAAAUAUGUUUCCCACUCGAAGUAAGUUAACAGGGAAAUAUCAUUUAAUAAAAUAAAGGCACAUCAAAUCAUCAAUAUAAGUUGUAUUUCUUUCAACUCAGCAAGUUACAAAGGAAAGUAACUCGAACAAAAAAAUUGCAUAUUCAUCACAUUUUUUUUUGCACUAAGUCAUGAUUUCUUAUCACAAACUAACUUAGAGUAUUGUAAGCACAGUUUCUUUUUUUUAUAGUUCAAUUUUACCAAAGCAAGACUGAAGAAAUUUAAGAUAAAAAAGUUUAUUACAUUGGUUGCAAUGAAUUACAUUGAUAUCCCAGUUGAAUAAAAACCGAUAAUUUCACAUGCGAAAUAAACGUUUAUUUCAUUCUCUGACGUCAUACGACAAUAGGCGUUGUCAAGAUGUCGAUAAAGGCGGACCAAAGCAAAUUGUGAAUGCGUAGAAAAAAGAUAUAGUUCCUGACAUGUUUUACAUAAGUUUCUUUAAAAAAAGCCAUUUGCCAAUGUAAUAAAAAGAAUAAUUAAUUAAAGAAUUCAAAUAGAGAAAAAUAUUCAACUUGUGACCGAACAACACUGAUAAUUAACUCAUGCUCUAUGCGCAUUAGUGAAUUAAUGUGUUGUUCGGUCACUUGUUGAAUAUUUUUCUCUAUUUGAAUUCUUCGAUUAGUUAUUCUAUAAGUAGGUAUAAUCAGAUACUGUGGAAUCAUUAUUAUUCGUUGGAUACCUAUUUUUCUUGAUUUCGUGGUUACAGUGAAUCAAGAGAUUAAAUAUUAAACAGAUAUCAAAUUUUUUAUAGGCGUGUAUGCAGACUUCGGCAAAACCACAAAAUCAAAUAUCCAAAGUUCUCCUAAAUCCACGAAAAUUGGUACCCACAAAAAUAAAUGAAUCCAUACAGUAUUGGAUUGUAUCUCUCUUCAUGAAUUUAUUUAGUUACUAUAAAAACCUAAAUGAAUAUAUUUGAAAUGUGCUUACAUAUAACAUGUGACAACCCUGAAUAUUCAAUGCUUAAUAUUCUGAAAAACUACACUACACGACUAGUUUCUAAUUCCUAUUGGGCUUUCUUAGACCCUAUAUAACUUCAAAUGAUCUAAAUAUUAAAACAGAUGUGAAUUUAUGCAUAUCUUAAAAUCUAGUCAUAAGAAUCAUGUAAAUUUUAUCAUUUUGUACUGAAAAAAAUCACAACUCUGCCUAAAGUUAUAAAUCACAACUUUUAUUGCAGGACUUUUCAAUUUCUUAAUGUAAAAUAUCAUAAAAAUCCAAUAUUUCAUAUAUAUUAUAAAAAUUAUUAUAAGUUACAACUAUGUGUACUUUUCACUUCAGAAAAAAAGAUUACACCAAUCAACCUUUUGAAACAACUGAUAUAGAAUAAUCAUCUUUUGGGAUUUGAUAAAAUCAAAUAACUGACCAUUCCAAAAUCUACACAUAUUUUAAAUAAUUCACUACUUUCUUACAACAGGUAUUUUAUAUAUACAUUGAAGAUCUUACAAUGUACCUGAAUUUUUUUUGACACCACAAUUUUUUGUGUGAAUCAUUUUGUCUAUAGGUAUUAAACUUUGCAUUUGAUAUACUUAAGAAUGAGAAAAAAAAUUGUCAGGUUUCCAGUUUUUAAAUACUGUGGAUUCAUUAAUAUUCGUUGGAUAUUAAUUUUCGUGGAUUUCGUGGGAACAGGGGAACCACGAAUUUAAAUGUUCAACGAAAUACAAAUUUUCCUAAGGAAUGCAUGCAAACUUUUCCAAAACAA